GGAACUGAAUACGCAGACGGAUGCAUUAUGGAUAGGGUUGGGUACCUAAACGCGGUGCUAAUAGGGAACCAGUUCCCAUGUAAACGGUAUUAACCAGACCGAAUAAGAACGAAAAUUUUGGUGCCCGAGUCUCUGUGUCAUGAUGCGCACACACGCAAAGUCUCUUGCUCUCUCCCUCUCCCUCAGGCACGCACUAUACGGUUUGGAGCACAGUCUGUUCUGUCUCGCAUUCGCGCUCUAGCUCACUCGCUCAAGAUUCCGGGAGAUUUUAACUAAUUUGCAGGGCAUUAGGGAGCCAUUAUCAAUAUGCGGGAGACUACCGGAACGUCUGAUAGCGAGGGGAUUAAUGAAGAUGCCGAAGACAAAACGCUCCAAGCACUCCGCUCCGAAAAGCACGUGCGCUCUACGCCUGCAAGGCUGAGCAUGACUCUGAGCUGUCCUUUAUCGCAGGGACCAUAUUCGACAAUGUUCAUCGGUCUAGAGAGCCAGGUUGGCUGGAGGGCACCUUGGAUGGGAAGACGGGGUUGAUUCCGGAGAACUACGUGGAGUUUGUUUAGACGCUGUUGGUUGGAGUCUUUGGCGAGGCAAAAGAACUGGACUUCGACAGAAAAGCCACAUUAGCAUGCCAUACGUUAUGGGUUUUUGGCAACUGUGGCAUUUCACUAGCGCAUCAUUGUCCCACAUAUCCCACAGCGCACUGCAGCUGUUUAAAAAAGGGAACCGAGAACAAGAAAAAAAAAAUGGGACCAAGUUGCCGCUGCCGCUUCGGCCACAAUCAACAAAGUCUUAGAUUUUCAAACAGGGCUUAUCAUAUAUAUAUAUAUAUAUAUGAGCACUUCCUGGUUCACCAUGAUGUAAUAUGUGCUGUUUCUAUGCAUUCUGGGGCUUUUUGAAUGUUUUUCAUGUCUUCCAGGUCCUCGUAACUGUUUUGUUUAGAACUACUAAGAGAUAACUGUUAAUUAUGGGGGUGAAAACUAUUGCACUCUUUUGUAUAUCAGGAAGCAAUUAUUAUUAUAAUUUUUUUUAGAAUUUAAUUUUUUCUCCUUUCUUAGCAUGUAAGUGGAAAAGCGUAAAUUAUUUCUUAAUGUGAAUUAACGUCAUGUAAACCACUCUUAUUUAAGCAUAAUCUCUGAUGAGAUGUGUGUUCUUUUGGAGUGUAUUAACAUUGUAAAUAAGUGACAAUUGAUAAGGUAUAAUUUUUUUUUGUAAAAUGUGAAUUAUAUAUAUUUUUAUUGUAGCAAACUAACUUAAUUUUUUUGAUAGCCCAAUUGAUCUUUUUACAUUAAAAAAAAAAAAAGUGUACAAUUUUAUGAGCCUUAAUAUUCUUUAGAAUAUUGAAUAAAUAAAAACAUGGUUCA